rnacentral:rRNA from 1 species
UGCAAGUCGAGCGGAUGAGGAGAGCUUGCUCUCUGAUUCAGCGGCGGACGGGUGAGUAAUGCCUAGGAAUCUGCCUGGUAGUGGGGGACAACGUUUCGAAAGGAACGCUAAUACCGCAUACGUCCUACGGGAGAAAGUGGGGGAUCUUCGGACCUCACGCUAUCAGAUGAGCCUAGGUCGGAUUAGCUAGUUGGUGGGGUAACGGCUCACCAAGGCGACGAUCCGUAACUGGUCUGAGAGGAUGAUCAGUCACACUGGAACUGAGACACGGUCCAGACUCCUACGGGAGGCAGCAGUGGGGAAUAUUGGACAAUGGGCGAAAGCCUGAUCCAGCCAUGCCGCGUGUGUGAAGAAGGCCCUCGGGUCGUAAAGCACUUUAAGCUGGGAGGAAGGGUUGUAACCUAAUACGUUGCAGCUUUGACGUUACCAGCAGAAUAAGCACCGGCUAACUCUGUGCCAGCAGCCGCGGUAAUACAGAGGGUGCAAGCGUUAAUCGGAAUUACUGGGCGUAAAGCGCGCGUAGGUGGCUUGGUAAGUUGAAUGUGAAAUCCCCGGGCUCAACCUGGGAACUGCAUCCAAAACUGCCUGGCUAGAGUACGGUAGAGGGUGGUGGAAUUUCCUGUGUAGCGGUGAAAUGCGUAGAUAUAGGAAGGAACACCAGUGGCGAAGGCGACCACCUGGACUGAUACUGACACUGAGGU